UUUUUGUUCUUGGACAGUGUCUGUUAGACCCACAAAUUUUCGUAAUAAUACGUUUGAUAUAUUAUAAGCUAUCGUGCUAACUACACACACAGACGCACGUGAAUCAUCAAGUAUACACUUCUAUCAUUUGAUUCAUUUCUACUUACCUUUCCACCACUUUUCAUAGCCGUCAUGUUUGUGUUUACUGUGCUUGCCUCCAUUUCCCCCCCGCUUUUCACCGAUUGAUUUCCGUCGACCCCAUUUUUGCUUAUCACGAGGCAUUGGGGGCGAACCGGGCGCGAAUACGUCAUCAGAUUCAGAGCUCUCGCUACAACUUGUUGCAGUCUUCCUUGAAGAUCUUCGUCCACGGUGUCGCUUUUUGUUCUUGCCGUUGUUGUUGUUGUUGCUGUCGUUGUUGUUGUUGUUGUUGUUGUCGUUUCUGCUGUCUUUGUUGUUGUUGUUGUUGUUGUUGUUGUUGUUGUUGUUGUUGUUGUUGUUGUUGUUGUUGUUGUUG
rnacentral:lncRNA from 1 species